CAUGGCUCAGAUUGAACGCUGGCGGAAUGUUUUACACAUGCAAGUCGAACGGCAGCACGGGUGCUUGCACCUGGUGGCGAGUGGCGAACGGGUGAGUAAUAUAUCGGAACGUAUCCAAUAAUGGGGGAUAACUAAUCGAAAGGUUGGCUAAUACCGCAUACGUCCUACGGGAGAAAGCAGGGGACCUUCGGGCCUUGCGUUAAUGGAGCGGCCGAUAUCUGAUUAGCUAGUAGGUGAGGUAAAGGCUCACCUAGGCGACGAUCAGUAGCUGGUCUGAGGGGACGACCGGCCACACUGGAACUGAGACACGGUCCAGACUCCUACGGGAGGCAGCAGUGGGGAAUUUUGGACAAUGGGGGCAACCCUGAUCCAGCCAUUCCGCGUGAGUGAAGAAGGCCUUCGGGUUGUAAAGCUCUUUCGCAAGGGAAGAAACGAUGCAGUCUAAUAAACUGUGUUAAUGACGGUACCUUGAUAAGAAGCACCGGCUAACUACGUGCCAGCAGCCGCGGUAAUACGUAGGGUGCGAGCGUUAAUCGGAAUUACUGGGCGUAAAGCGUGCGCAGGCUGUUUUGUAAGUCAGAUGUGAAAUCCCUGGGCUCAACCUAGGAACUGCGUUUGAAACUACAAGGCUAGAGUGUAGGAGAGGGGGGUAAAAUUCCACGUGUAGCAGUGAAAUGCGUAGAGAUGUGGAGGAAUACCAAUGGCGAAGGCAGCCCCCUGGCCUAACACUGACGCUCAUGCACGAAAGCGUGGGGAGCAAACAGGAUUAGAUACCCUGGUAGUCCACGCCCUAAACGAUGUCUACUAGUUGUUGGUGGAGUAAAAUCCAUUAGUAACGCAGCUAACGCGUGAAGUAGACCGCCUGGGGAGUACAGG
rnacentral:rRNA from 1 species